rnacentral:rRNA from 1 species
UACGAAGGGGGCUAGCGUUGCUCGGAAUCACUGGGCGUAAAGGGUGCGUAGGCGGGGCUUUAAGGCAGGGGGGAAAUCCUGGAGCUCAACUCCAGAACUGCCUUUGAUACUGAAGAUCUUGAGUUCGGGAGAGGUGAGUGGAACUGCGAGUGUAGAGGUGAAAUUCGUAGAUAUUCGCAAGAACACCAGUGGCGAAGGCGGCUCACUGGCCCGAUACUGACGCUGAGGCACGAAAGCGUGGGGAGCAAACAGG